UACGUAGGGGGCAAGCGUUGUCCGGAAUCAUUGGGCGUAAAGAGCGUGUAGGCGGCUCGGUAAGUCCGCUCUGAAAGCCCGGGGCUCAACCCCGGGAGGCGGGCGGAUACUGUCGGGCUAGAGUCCGGAAGAGGCGAGUGGAAUUCCUGGUGUAGCGGUGAAAUGCGCAGAUAUCAGGAGGAACACCAAUAGCGAAGGCAGCUCGCUGGGACGGUACUGACGCUGAGACGCGAAAGCGUGGGGAGCAAACAGG
rnacentral:rRNA from 1 species